rnacentral:lncRNA from 1 species
AUGGAUGAUAUUAUUGAUAUUAAUAUGUUGCUUGGUGAGAUUGAGAAAGAGGAUACAAUGGAUGGAGGUAACAUAAAGAUCGGUGAGAUUAUUGAUUUGGAGCUUCCAGUUCCAACUGAGAACACUACUCAAAACACUACUACUGAAAAUAAUACUACUACUCAAAAUGCCACCACUACUGAUGGGUCAACUCCUCUAGGUGACCAAUAUGAGAGUUCUCAGAGUUAG